rnacentral:rRNA from 1 species
GUGGGGAAUCUUGCGCAAUGCGCGAAAGCGUGACGCAGCAACGCCGCGUGGGGGAAGAAGGCCUUCGGGUUGUAAACCCCUUUCAGGAGGGACGAAGCCCGGACGGUUAAUAGCCGAUCCGGGUGACGGUACCUCCAGAAGAAGCCCCGGCUAACUACGUGCCAGCAGCCGCGGUAAUACGUAGGGGGCAAGCGUUGUCCGGAAUUAUUGGGCGUAAAGCGCGUGUAGGCGGUCCGGUAAGUCGGCUGUGAAAGUCCAGGGCUCAACCCUGGGAUGCCGGUCGAUACUGCCGGACUAGAGUUCGGAAGAGGCGAGUGGAAUUCCCGGUGUAGCGGUGAAAUGCGCAGAUAUCGGGAGGAACACCAAUGGCGAAGGCAGCUCGCUGGGACGUUACUGACGCUGAGACGCGAAAGCGUGGGGAGCAAACAGGAUUAGAUACCCUAGUAGUCC